rnacentral:lncRNA from 1 species
UUUUCUUAUAUCUUCUUCCUAGAUUAGAAAAUAUUAUCUUUAUUUUUAAUCCGUCAUAGUUUUCAUAUGUUUUUUCAUCUAUUGCGUAUUCUUCCUUAUUCAUUUAUAGAUUGUGUUGAAGUUUAUAUUCUAAACUUUCUAUUUGUAUUUCUAGAUAUAAAAUAGUUUUUCUCUGUGCUAUUAUAGAUUUUUUACAAAUUCCUGCGAAUAUGUUAUUAUUAAGUCUAUUUUGCCUAUGUUCUAAUUCUUG